CAAGCUUUAAAGUACAGAUAAGAAAACCCAAACUAUUGAUAAUACAAGUAUAUGAAUAAAAUAGGAAUUUCAAUAUAAGAGAGUUUCACGAAGAUUCCAUUGUUCCCCAACAACAAAGGGUUUAGUUCAUCAUUGACAUGGUGAAACUAUAUGGAUUUAAUGGAAAGAAUGAAAGAAUAAACCCUAGAAUUGGUAAAUUCGAGCUUUUUGCCUCUCUAUUCUCC
rnacentral:lncRNA from 1 species